rnacentral:rRNA from 1 species
AGAGUUUGAUUCUGGCUCAGAAUGAACGCUGGCGGCGUGCCUAAGACAUGCAAGUCGCACGAGAAAGUAGCUUCGGCUAUGAGUAGAGUGGCGCACGGGUGAGUAAUAUUUAGAUUACGUACCCUUUCGCUGGGGAUAACUAGGGGAAACUCUAGCUAAUACCGAAUAACCUGGAGACAGGAAAGCCGUAAGGCGCGAAGGGAUCGGUCUGAACACCAUUAGCUAGUUGGUAGGGUAAAAGCCUACCAAGGCAACGAUGGUUAGCUGGUCUGAGAGGACGAUCAGCCACACUGGCACUGGAACACGGGCCAGACUCCUACGGGAGGCAGCAGUUAGGAAUUUUGCGCAAUGGGGGAAACCCUGACGCAGCAACGCCGCGUGAGUGAUGAAGGCCUUCGGGUUGUAAAGCUCUUUUAGCAGGAAAGAAAUAAAUGACGGUACCUGCAGAAAAAGCACCGGCUAACUCUGUGCCAGCAGCCGCGGUAAUACAGAGGGUGCAAGCGUUAUUCGGAUUUACUGGGCGUAAAGGGCGCGUAGGUGGUUUUCUAAGUUUGAUGUGAAAUACCUCGACUCAAUCGGGGAAGUGCAUUGAAUACUGGAAGACUAGAGUUUAGGAGAGGAGAGCGGAAUUCCUGGUGUAGAGGUGAAAUUCGUAGAUAUCAGGAGGAACAACGAAGGCGAAGGCAGCUCUCUGGACUAAUACUGACACUGAGGCGCGAAAGCGUGGGGAGCAAACAGGAUUAGAUACCCUGGUAGUCCACGCCAUAAACGAUGGAUAUUAGAUGUCGGGAGCACUUGUUCUCUCGGUGUCGUAGCUAACGCGUUAAAUAUCCCGCCUGGGGAGUACGGUCGCAAGAUUAAAACUCAAAGAAAUUGACGGGGGCCCGCACAAGUGGUGGAGGAUGUUGUUUAAUUCGAUCCACGCGAAAAACCUUACCUAGGCUUGACAUCCCACGCUAUCCUAUGAAAGUAGGAGUUCCUUCGGGACGUGGAGACAGGUGUUGCAUGGCUGUCGUCAGCUCGUGUCGUGAGAUGUUGGGUUAAGUCCCGCAACGAGCGCAACCCCCGCCAUUAGUUGCCAGCAUUAAGUUGGGCACUCUAAUGGGACCGCUUGCUGAUAAGGCAGAGGAAGGUGGGGAUGACGUCAAGUCCGCAUGGCCCUUACGCCUAGGGCCACAAACGUCCUACAAUGGUCAGUACAGAGCGUUACUAAGCCGCAAGGUAGAGUUAAUCGCAGAAAGCUGACCUCAGUACAGAUUGUAGUCUGCAACUCGACUACAUGAAGUUGAAAUCACUAGUAAUCGCGGAUCAGCACGCCGCGGUGAAUACGUUCCCGGGCCUUGUACACACCGCCCGUCACACCAUGGAAGUUGGGGCUGCUUGAAGAGGCUGAGCUAACCGCAAGGAGGCAAGUCUCAAUGGUGGAACCGAUGACUGGGGUGAAGUCGUAACAAGGUA